CGGGAUGUGGCGCAGCUUGGCUAGCGCGCCUGCUUUGGGAGCAGGAGGUCGCCGGUUCAAAUCCGGCCAUCCCGACCA
rnacentral:tRNA from 1 species